UGGUCGGGAUAGCUCAGCUGGUAGAGCAGAGGACUGAAAAUCUCU
rnacentral:tRNA from 2 species